AACGAACGCUGGCGGCAUGCCUAACACAUGCAAGUCGAACGAGACCUUCGGGUCUAGUGGCGCAUGGGUGCGUAACGCGUGGGAACCUGCCCUUAGGUUCGGAAUAACUCCCCGAAAGGGGUGCUAAUACCGGAUAAUGUCUUCGGACCAAAGAUUUAUCGCCUUUGGAUGGGCCCGCGUUGGAUUAGCUAGUUGGUAGGGUAAAAGCCUACCAAGGCGACGAUCCAUAGCUGGUCUGAGAGGAUGAUCAGCCACACUGGGACUGAGACACGGCCCAGACUCCUACGGGAGGCAGCAGUGGGGAAUAUUGGACAAUGGGCGAAAGGCUGAUCCAGCAAUGCCGCGUGAGUGAUGAAGGCCUUAGGGUUGUAAAGCUCUUUUACCCGGGAUGAUAAUGACAGUACCGGGAGAAUAAGCUCCGGCUAACUCCGUG
rnacentral:rRNA from 1 species